GGGAAAAUUACUCAUCCACGUAUAGCGAAUGGAUACACGUAUGUACAUCCCUGGGUCCUACAGGGUUUAAUAUCGUGAAGGGUAGUCGAGAGGAAGGAAGAUAGGGACGACCCUAAAGCGAGGGAGUGCUGAUGCUAAAGCCGCGAGCAUGAAGGGACCUUCAAAUAAAAAAAAAGAUAGGACCUACUGAGCAAGCGAGCGAACAAGAGAGAGAGAAAGAAAAGGAAAGAGAAUCCGGUCCCCCUUCUUUCGAGACCAGGGAAAGGCCGCACCCACGCAGUUCUUGAAGAUCAUGUUGGGUCCCCGCUGGCACAGCCCUGAGCGUGUAAGUAAACACGCCAAAGUUCUAGUACUUGAACAUGGAGCGAACAUUUUCCACAAGGUUGGAUAUCCCUCGUGAAACACGAAUGCUGGCCACUCAUGUAAAUUCAUAGAAAGCCUUUCAAUUCAACCAUUAUGGGAAAUACACGCAAUAAGAACAGAAUAUAUAUUGGAAAUUGUAAAGAAAAAAGUUUCGAGAUUGUAAAUUGAUAGGUUAAGUCGAGAUAGGUUAUUUUCAUGUAAGAAGCGCGAAAAACGUAGAACAAAUAAAUUGUUACUCCAACCUUAUAACAUUGCAUAAUAUCGACGAAGUUGCGCUACGUUUUUACUGUGCAACAUCUUCACCUUGCCUUUAAGGCAAAUUCACAUUUGCCUGUGUCAUAACAGUUAUAUUAUAACAAUACUUGAACGUAAGAUAAUCAGAAUGCACAUGCUUGGCUAGCGAGUUGGUCGCUUAGGUUAAGCCAAAGUCAACACGUGGCAACGCCGCGCUACAGCUGUCAUACACGUCACGCAUCGAGUCAAAGCUCAACUUAUUCUACAUAAGUGUUUUAUAAGAGUUGGUCGAGGAGAGAUCUGUCUCUCCCGUUACGCGAUACGAAACGAAAACGACUAUGACUGGGAAGAAGUUGCACGCUCUCUGUCCGACUUUUUGAUCGGUAGGAAAAAUCAUUUCUCCGUUAAAGGACAGCAUUGUGCGGUCAGAGUACAUACUACUGGCUCUGUGUUUGGGGCUACCCAGCGUUACCUCGUAACAUUCUCAUGCCAUCAACUUCCCUCUCCCGAAAUCCCAGACGGGAAAGUGAGUUUCGGAACAUGAUUGUUAAUUUUACGUAACGUACGACUCGGUUGCUCACUAGGAACAAGUUUCCCCUCCUGCUUUUACCCAGAUCUCCGUUCGAUAUCCAACUUGAAUUUUCUCGACAGUAAUUUCUCGAUGAAUAAAAAAGCGAGGUUAUGUGCCUCUUUUGAAUUUCCCGCUACAAUUCUCACGCUCUCCGUGAGCAUAAUCUUCGUUCUCUCUCUCUCUCUCUCUCUUUGUUGUUGAAACAAGUUGCGGUACAGACUGCGACGGUGUUUUCGAAAAACAAACGAACGUUAUCUCGGCGCAGCGAUGUUAACCUUUCAACGAAGGCACCAAACAGACCAGGAGCCAGUGAAGAAAUAAAGAGGGAUUGACAACGAAAGAAAGGAUGGAGGGAUAGGGUUAGUCUGUAUCAACUGUGCACCCUUAUCAAUUGGAAAAUUGGUGUGUGCAGUGGGAGCGGAAGAGGAGGGGAUUCGACAACGUUCAACUCGAUUUGGUGGGGGAAGAACGAUUAGGUUUACGCGCCUGCUAGGGGCGUACAUAUCAAAGGGUCGACGUAGGGGCUACUGUACACAGGGAAUAUUAGUUCAGAUACAAUUUUCGUUCUUGAAUUUCGUAGCGGCCAAACUUGGUGGCGAAAGGGAAGGGGAAUUCGGUACAAAAAGCAGGGGCGUAUCCAAGGAAUAGGAUGAGACGAUCUUUGUGUGCACGUUGUGAGAGAAACCGAAAGAACCAGCAAAUGAAUCAGCGAGAAAGAGUACGGAGAGGGACGAACGCCAGUAAGGAACGGAAGAAGAGCGACUCAGGCGUCUAGGGCGCAUGCGUCACUCAUCGUGGGCGUCGAGAAUGUGUUGACACGAGAACUUGAGAGAACGCCGUAGCCCUAAUGCCACGACGCGACGGCCCGUGUUAUCGUCGAUACGGUUCCCAUACUGCGGGUCCGCCCCGUCAUCGCGAAAUCUGGGUCUUUCAUCCUGACGAAAUCGGGUCUCUGUCGGUGUCAACUCUCUACGGGGAUUGAUGAUUCAGAAAUUACUGUGCAAAUGAUAAACAGAACAAAUAGAAAUGAGCUAGACAUGAAUUGGAGACGUUUUCUAAUCUUCACCUGUGAAUUGUUAUAUACAUAUAUCAUUCGAACAUACAUAUAUCUCUUAUUCGAAUUAAUAUCUGUCUUGACAUAUUCAAUUAUUCACUUGUAAUUUCUUGUGGAACAUUAUUGAAGAAGUAUUCACUGUAGAAUGCUUAUAAAUUUUCAUUGAAGCUUUUUUUCUCUCGCUUCUAGAAACCUAUUUUUCAGGGAACUUUUAUCCGAUGUUUAAAAGCUUGUAUAAGUAUAGAGUUAGCCGCGUAGCUACAGGGAAUGAUGUUCUCCACGCAGUAAAUUUAUAUUGGACUAUAAUCAAAUAAGCUGGCCGCAGAAGAUAUCCAUAUGUCUAAAUUAUCAUCGGUUUCACGAUGCUUUAAAUAUACCGCGCGACAAUGUUCGAUAGGAUAUGACGUGUAAAAUAAUUUUUAGGUUAACAUCUAACUAUUUAUUUUAGUAUCCUAGUUUUAUUUGUUAUAGAAAAAAUAUAUUAUUUAACACUGAAAUUAAUAAAAUUGUAAUUGCAUGUAAUAUAUUUCAGUCACCAACGUACCAAGUUUCAUGUAUGAGUAGAAUCUGUUAGAAGAAAUGUUGCAAAAUCCUAUGCAUUUAUGAGCGGACCUUACGGAACAGUAAGAAAAUCAUGAUUGUUGCUUAUAACUUUUGGCCAUCUGAGUAAACGAAGAAAACGCACUUUAAUUUUUACAUAUAUCUACAUGUUGUCAUGAAAAUUAAAAGGUUUUAAAUAUA